rnacentral:rRNA from 1 species
CCUACGUGAGGCAGCAGUGGGGAAUAUUGCACAAUGGGGGAAACCCUGAUGCAGCGACGCCGCGUGAGUGAAGAAGUAAUUCGUUAUGUAAAGCUCUAUCAGCAGGGAAGAAAAUGACGGUACCUGAGUAAGACGCCCCGGCUACCUACGUGCCAGCAGCCGCGGUAAUACGUAGGGGGCAAGCGUUAUCCGGAUUUACUGGGUGUAAAGGGAGCGUAGACGGCAGUGCAAGUCUGGAGUGAAAGGCGGGGGCUCAACCCCCGGACUGCUCUGGAAACUGUACGGCUGGAGUGCAGGAGAGGUAAGUGGAAUUCCUAGUGUAGCGGUGAAAUGCGUAGAUAUUAGGAGGAACACCAGUGGCGAAGGCGGCUUACUGGACUGUAACUGACGUUGAGGCUCGAAAGCGUGGGGAGCAAACAGGAUUAGAUACCCUAGUAGUC